rnacentral:sRNA from 1 species
GGUCAACAGCCAGGGAGGCCACCAUGAUGGGACUCGCGAAUUCGUUGAAUGCGCUACUGGUCGGUGCUGCGUUUGUCUUCGUUGCCGCCAUGCUUUUCGUGUGAAGAGGCCGUUACUGCGGAGAAGACAGGUUAUAUCGGCCUCAGACCUGAAGAGGCCACAGAUUUCAGAACGACGAACGGGGCGCCGGAGAUCAUCCGGCGCCCC